UAUAUCUUGCGGACAAAGGGAAUAAUCGAUUCUCACAUGCUUUUUUUCACAGAUUUCGAAAAAAGAUGGCAACUCCACUCGAUCGAGCGAUAAAUGCUAUUGAGAACAAUCAAACUGAUACAAAGAACAGCCUCGAUUUCAUAAAACGUGAAAUAAAUUCGAUGAAUACAGUUAUUACCCAACAGCAAGCCACGAUUACCCAACAGCAAGCCACGAUUACCCAACAGCAAGCCACGAUUACCCAACAGCAAGGCGCGAUUACCCAGCUACAGCGAGAUGUUUUGCAACUGCAGCAGGUGAACGCCCUGUACAAAGAUGAAUGCCCGCACUGCGGUAAUUAUGUUGAUGCUCGUUUCUCAGCGUUCAAAUGUUGUGGUGACACGUGGUGUACUUCAUUGUGAAUUUUGAAAAAAAGGAUAAUUGCGACGAUGACAUUGAAACUGUCAGAGACAAACUAAAAGAAAAUCUUAUGCGGUUCGACUGGUCACGAUGAAAAAUGGGAGAAGAGUUCCGGUGACAUAUCAGCUCAUAUGAUAUCUGAUAAAGCUUGUUUGAGCUCAUUUUGGGACUCAUAAAUCACUGGGAUUUGCUCGCCACAAGGAAGUCGUUUCAUUCAUUCAACAUAAAGAAAAGUCACAUUACUGAUAACCAUUUUCAAUCGUAUUAUUCUUUUUAAUUUUAAACAUUUUGUCAUAUAAAUUUUUUUUCGUAGAAGUCCUAUCCAAAAAUGUCAGGUUAGCGUUAAAAUGUUCAAUAAAUAAAAAAAAAGAAAUGAAAUCAACCAAAUUGCUGAUUUAAUAGCAAUCGAAAAGGCUGUAAAAAGAAUAAGCGAUUGAACGAUUCGAUUUUAUUUUAAACUCCAAUUGUUUAGAUAAAUUUGCACAUAAAUUUGUUAUUGUUGUUGUUGUUUCUCGUCGUCGAUCGAUAGCAAGUUUUUGUUUCGAUAUUGGAAAAUCGCUUUUCCACCAGAUUAUCCGAUGAUUAUAAUUUUCAAGAUAAUGCUCGGUAUUUUUCUCUCUCUCCGUCUUACACUUGACACCAAAUUGGCUGACGCUUAUCAACGUUUUGCGCGUCUUUUUCGUCCCAUUUUUAUUUUGUAUCUUUCUCCAUUACUACAUGUAUUCUCUUAUCAUGCCCAUAUUUUGUAUCGUGCAUCGCAUCGCAUCAUGUUUGGAUCCGUUUUUGAAAAAUCAAGUCAAGAAUUUCUCUUACAAAACACUGAAGUAAAGCAUCUUGAAAUUGGCAUACCUUCAGCGACUGUCAUCGGCGUGUCAACAUGCACACAGUGAUACAAACAAACCCUUCGACCAGUGAUUUUUUACUCUUCCUUUUCUCAUGUCCUCCAUACAUUCUUUUCUUUUCUUUACUUCUCGCCCUCUCUCAGUGUGGUGUUCUGAAAUUGAAAGAUAUACUCAUUUCAUUUAUCUGUUCGAUGGGAAAGAAGAAGAAGACGACGACGACGAAAAAAAUGGAACAAACGAAAAUUCGGUGGAACGUGCUUUU